rnacentral:rRNA from 1 species
UACGAAGGGGGCUAGCGUUGCUCGGAAUGACUGGGCGUAAAGGGCGCGUAGGCGGCUUGCACCGUCAGAUGUGAAAUUCCUGGGCUUAACCUGGGGGCUGCAUUUGAUACGUGUGGGCUUGAGUGCGGAAGAGGGUCGUGGAAUUCCCAGUGUAGAGGUGAAAUUCGUAGAUAUCGGGAGGAACACCAGUGGCGAAGGCGGCUAUCUGGGCUGGAACUGACGCUGAGGCGCGAAGGCUAGGGGAGCAAACAGG